GGAUUUUGAGUCAUAAUUCUAACAUAGGAAAAUGGGACCCGCUACUUUGUAAGUGAAAGUUCAUAUGCACCUAAUGCACCUAAUAAUUUGCCAGCUUUUUCUUCAUUCUGAUUUUGAUUUCUGUGACUUCUUCAUGGCAAACAUCUUUAGAAUUAGCUUGUCUUGUAGAUUGCUGCUGACAGAUAAAAGGAAUAUUUAAUUUAUACAGAAGUUUUAUUCUCAAUAAAGCGGUGACUAUAUUAUAAAUAAAUAAAUAAAUAACAAAGCAUCCAUACCAAUAAUCACAGAAUAUGAAAAGGUCCGACAAGCAAAAUAAAGGUACUGGCUUUAUAAUUUCUUUGAAGAAUGUAAUGCAGAUUAUUAACCCAGAGAAUAACUUAACGUAAAAUAACAAGUACGUAAUAGUACGCUACAUUAGCUAGGAGUCCCAUGAAUCUGUG
rnacentral:misc_RNA from 1 species